rnacentral:pre_miRNA from 1 species
GAAGUACUCCCUCUGUCCCAAAUUUCUUGUCUUAGAUUUGUCUAGAUACGGAUGUAUCUAAUACUAAAAUGUGACUUGAUACAUCCGUAUCUAGACAAAUCUAAGACAAGAAUUUUGGGACGGAGGGAGUACUUU